rnacentral:rRNA from 1 species
GAUGAACGCUGGCGGCGUGCCUAAUACAUGCAAGUCGAGCGAACGGACGAGAAGCUUGCUUCUCUGAUGUUAUCGGCGGACGGGUGAGUAACACGUGGAUAACCUACCUAUAAGACUGGGAUAACUUCGGGAAACCGGAGCUAAUACCGGAUGAUAUUUUGAACCGCAUGGUUCAAAAGUGAAAGACGGUCUUUCUGUCACUUAUAGAUGGAUCCGCGCUGCAUUAGCUAGUUGGUAAGGUAACGGCUUACCAAGGCAACGAUGCAUAGCCGACCUGAGAGGGUGAUCGGCCACACUGGAACUGAGACACGGUCCAGACUCCUACGGGAGGCAGCAGUAGGGAAUCUUCCGCAAUGGGCGAAAGCCUGACGGAGCAACGCCGCGUGAGUGAUGAAGGUCUUCGGAUCGUAAAACUCUGUUAUUAGGGAAGAACAUAUGUGUAAGUAACUGUGCACAUCUUGACGGUACCUAAUCAGAAAGCCACGGCUAACUACGUG